rnacentral:sRNA from 1 species
GGUUCAUUUGCAUGUCCCCGCCUCGCGCGGCGGCGGCGGCGGGUGAGGAGCCUGAGGCGGCGGCGGGGGCGGCUCCGCGCGCGGUGGUCUCGGGAUCUCUUAAGGGCAGUCCCAAGAUCCAGAGCAGAGAUGUAUGAUGACGUCCACAGCGAUGGCAGAUACUCCCUCAGUGGAUCUGUAGCUCACUCUCGAGAUGCCGGAAGAGAAGGCCUGAGAAGUGACGUAUUUCCAGGGCCUUCCUUCAGAUCAAGCAACCCUUCCAUCAGUGAUGACAGCUACUUUCGCAAAGAAUGUGGCCGGGAUCUGGAAUUUUCUCACUCUGAUUCUCGGGACCAGGUCAUUGGCCACCGGAAAUUGGGGCAUUUCCGUUCUCAGGACUGGAAAUUUGCGCUCCGUGGUUCUUGGGAACAAGACUUUGGCCAUCCAGUUUCUCAAGAGUCCUCUUGGUCACAGGAGUAUAGUUUUGGUCCCUCUGCAGUUUUGGGGGACUUUGGAUCUUCCAGGCUGAUUGAGAAAGAGUGUUUGGAGAAGGAGAGUCGGGACUAUGACGUGGACCAUCCUGGGGAGGCUGACUCUGUGCUUAGGGGCAGCAGUCAAGUCCAGGCCAGAGGUCGAGCUCUAAACAUUGUUGACCAGGAAGGUUCCCUCCUAGGAAAGGGGGAGACUCAGGGCCUGCUCACAGCUAAGGGGGGUGUUGGGAAACUUGUCACAUUGAGAAAUGUGAGCACAAAAAAAAUACCCACCAUGAAUCGUAUUACUCCCAA